rnacentral:lncRNA from 1 species
UAUAGACUUCCCCACAUUGAAAUUGGGAAGAAGAAACAUUGGAGAGCAUGUCAAGACACAAGGGGCUCAGGGUACAGCAUAAUUUUGCUUUAAUUCUACAGCAUGUUUUCACCAAGGGUGGUAGGAGAUAGAGAUGAAGUAUAGAUUUUACAGACAUUACAUCGUGUUCCUAAAAACAGACGGAAAAGUGAUCAUAAUAACCCAUAAACACUGUAGAACAAGAACUAACGAGACCGCUGAUGUAGAAAUUACUUUCCUCAAGGAAGAGGGAUUGUCAGGCAGAAAGGAGGG